GCCAAAGUAGCUCAGUUGGUAGAGCAAUUCACUCGUAAUGAAUAGGUCACCGGUUCGAUUCCGGUCUUUGGCUCCA
rnacentral:tRNA from 1 species